rnacentral:rRNA from 1 species
GACGAACGCUGGCGGCGUGCUUAACACAUGCAGGUCGAACGGUGAAGCUCCAGCUUGCUGGAGUGGAUCAGUGGCGAACGGGUGAGUAACACGUGAGCAACCUGCCCCAGACUCUGGAAUAAGCGCUGGAAACGGCGUCUAAUACUGGAUACGAGAUCAAGCCGCAUGGUUAUGGUCUGGAAAGUUUUUCGGUUUGGGAUGGGCUCGCGGCCUAUCAGCUUGUUGGUGAGGUAAGGGCUGACCAAGGCGACGACGGGUAGCCGGCCUGAGAGGGCGACCGGCCACACUGGGACUGAGACACGGCCCAGACUCCUACGGGAGGCAGCAGUGGGGAAUAUUGCACAAUGGGCGAAAGCCUGAUGCAGCGACGCCGCGUGAGGGAUGACGGCCUUCGGGUUGUAAACCUCUUUCAGCAGGGAAGAAGCGAAAGUGACGGUACCUGCAGAAGAAGCACCGGCUAACUACGUG